GGAGGGUAUAGCUCAGUGGUAGAGUGUGUACCUAGCAUGCACAAGGUCCUGGGUUCAAUCCCCAGUACCUCCA
rnacentral:tRNA from 1 species